AUAAUCGAGUUUUAUGGUAACAUAGAGACGACUCUUUCAUUUUCAUUUCUCUUCGUUUCCCAACAUCAACAUCAUCAACCUUUUCCUCCUUUUCCCAAUCUCUUUGCUGUAAACAGUGUCAUCCAGUGAGUAAAUGCCUUGAAUUAACUUACCUGUGUUUACUAGUGUCAGUGAUUCUACUCACCUUUUCAUUUUAUUAACAAUUGUAAAUUAAAUUGACUAUUAUUCAAGUGAUUUACAGUGAGCUGAUCCAUACGCUAAGCUUAUUCAUCUCUUCUCCUCUCUUACAAUAAUUAACAAAUAAUUAUUACGUUCUUGAUCUACGUUCAAAUCAUUUACCAUGAUACCUUCCUCCUAAAACGACCUGUGAAAUCAAAUAAUCAAAGGACCUGAACGACCUGCAACAAAUAAUUAUUAACAGUGACCAAAUUAAAAGUCAAAUUUAAAUCAAAAAUCAAAAAUCUAAAAUUAAAUCUUUCUCAAACAAAUAAAAAGUUUAUUUAAAUAAAAAUCUCAAUCAAAUUAUUAAUAUCUCCAGCAAACACGCACGAUCAUGGUUCGCUUCUGGUGGAAGAGGUGCAAUUCAGUCUCAACAUCUCUGAUAUAUGGUUUCGAUGGGAAAUUGGCAAAUACCUGAAAACAUACUCCACUUCAAAAAUAAUUAUUUAUAUUCUGUGAGGACGAUGUCAACAAAACCUGAACAUGGAAUCAACCUCUUCUUCAUGAGAUUUCUGAGUGCGAUCGGUUAUGCUCUGGUAAGCUGACAAAAACUUGGUUCAAUCGACUAAUCGAUGCUCGUAAUUCACCUGAAGGCUUAAGCAAUUUUCCUUUCAAUACAAUGAAGGAACUUGAAACUUAUAGCGAAAACUCAGUGUCACCAGUUUUAUAUCUAAUAAACGAGGCCAUGUUAUCCACCUGUAAAUCUUCAUCUAUUAAACCUGAUGUUUAGUUAAAAUUAGAUCACAUUGGAAGUCAUAUUGGGAAAGCUGUUUUUAACGAUGUUUUUCUUGGAGUUGGCUCGGAUGAAAUUGAUUUUUUGGUCUAAUCUGAAUCGGAUAAAGAGUCGAAUUUUAAUUCAUGGAUUAAUUUUUGAAGGUGAAACGCUAACCUAACAUGCAAUUAUGGAUCAUUUGGAUAAUCCAGAAUGCAACAGCAAUGCAUAUGAUAGUCAAUUCAUUCAAUCGCCUUCCAAAUAACACUGAAUAUCUGAAGAAACGUUAUAUAUUUCAACUGGCUCUAUUUCAGUUGAAUUUGGACAGAUGUGAUUGAAUAAAUUAGAUGAAUAACAGCAUGCCAAAACUCUUGAAACAUUUAACUUCAUGUCUUGAUUACAACAAGAAAUCAAUUUAAAUGAUGGAUGAUGAGAUUUUUCAAAGCCAAGGCAAAUAAAUCUUUGAGUAUGUCUUCAAAUCGGUACAGUACUUUGGAUGGAUAAUGACAAUCGAUAUAUUCUUCGGGAACUUUAUAAGUCAUAUCAUAUUUG